UAGAGUUUGAUCCUGGCUCAGGAUGAACGCUGGCGGCGUGCCUAAUACAUGCAAGUCGAGCGAACAGACGAGGAGCUUGCUCCUCUGACGUUAGCGGCGGACGGGUGAGUAACACGUGGAUAACCUACCUAUAAGACUGGGAUAACUUCGGGAAACCGGAGCUAAUACCGGAUAACAUGUUGAACCGCAUGGUUCAACAGUGAAAGACGGUCUUGCUGUCACUUAUAGAUGGAUCCGCGCCGCAUUAGCUAGUUGGUAAGGUAACGGCUUACCAAGGCAACGAUGCGUAGCCGACCUGAGAGGGUGAUCGGCCACACUGGAACUGAGACACGGUCCAGACUCCUACGGGAGGCAGCAGUAGGGAAUCUUCCGCAAUGGGCGAAAGCCUGACGGAGCAACGCCGCGUGAGUGAUGAAGGUCUUCGGAUCGUAAAACUCUGUUAUUAGGGAAGAACAAAUGUGUAAGUAACUAUGCACGUCUUGACGGUACCUAAUCAGAAAGCCACGGCUAACUACGUGCCAGCAGCCGCGGUAAU
rnacentral:rRNA from 1 species